GAGGCUGCUAGCUGAGGAGAUAGAUGUGUCCCUGGCUGGUGAGCAAGGAUUCUGGAACCCGUGACUAGAACUCAGGGCCACGGGGAUGCCGGUGCCACCUAGGAAUCAUUUACCUUCUGGGUACUCAGCGGAGGAAGCCUCUGUCCUGGUGAAUGGAUCCUUUCUGAUUGCUGAGAGCAUUCUUGGCAGAAGAAAGCUAUUCCACUCCAACAAUGGUGGCUACCCCCGUGGAGGGCUCGCUCUAGGCCUCAAGCUCUGCCAGGGACCUUGUGUGCCUCUGACUCACAAGCGCACUGGCCAGGCGACUGCCGCCCUGUUGCGUGCGUGAGGACACUGCGGUUCUGUGAGGGCCACUGCGCUGCCCAGAGUCAUACAGUCCCGAGGUUUCCCUUGUGUCUUCCUACUACCGUGACUGAUUCACCGACUCUGUCUGUCUAUGUAUCCAGUGACAAAUAGCCAUCAUAUUAGCCUGCAUGCCUCAUUAUGGGGGGCCUCUCCUGGCAUACUCUUCGGGUGUUCCUUUUAGAAUAGAAGCUGCACAUAAAAACAGCAAUAAAACUCUUUACAGCUCA